AAGCACAGACCAUUCUACAGAAGAAACAUGAACUGCAAAGACUUUCUAGGUCUUAACUUUCAUUUUAAGAUACGAAAAGUAAACUCUUUUCCCAGAUUAAUUUUUUCCUAAGUAAGCCAGUCGGCUAUGGCCUCAUCCGAAACAAGUCUCUCUUUAGCCCCACCUGGUGGGCCUUCUGCCUUCAAACUGCAAGUUAGACAAAGCUAUAAAAAUUUGCAGAUCCAUUUACAGACCAGCUGGGUAGAGGACACAAUUAGCUGGAAAGAUUUUUCUAGGGACUGAUCAGAAAAUAUAUCUGGCUAGAAUUAGAGUCUCUCUGCCUCUGUCUCUCUCUGUCUUCCCUUCUCACUCUUCCUCCCUCUCGCACCUCUUCCCUUUUGCCACACAAUGUGGGUACAAUUUAUUUCAAAGCUGACAACAGAGCUAAAAGCCCAGAUGACACCCCUAGACACCUCCUUGCGGGAAGCUGGUCCCGGCUAAGCAGGCAUGGAUUCAUAGCACAGCGGGAACAAGUCUGUCAUACUCAGACUGUGAAAAAUCUCCCGAAUUUCCAUGAUGGAGAAGCAAACCAGCUGAACAGAGGCAUAAUCUAGACUUUGAAAGAAGGAGGUACAUUCUAGCUCUGAGACCCAGAGUACCCAGACAGCUUCCAGGCAGGGAAGCAAGCAUAGUUUGUGGUUUUUUAAGGUUUUUUAGGUACACAUAUUGAUUGAUUAAUAUUUACCCACUGCAGGUGGAGAAAGGGUGGACCAGUUCAUGGAGGAUUUAAGAGGUACCCAUGCCCUCCAAGAAUAUCAAUACCUUAGACUGUAUAACCCCAGACCUCUAGAGGGUCCUAGGUCUCUGAGGACAACAUGAGGGUAUGACAGCUGGUUAUAAAAAGCUCUGCACCUUCUCCUUGAACUUCUCACACUGUUACCACCCUAUGUUCCCUGGAAAGCUGACCCAUUCCUGGGCCUGUGUCCCUGAUUGAACUAUAGUUCUGGCAGCAACACAACUGCAGGAAGGGGUUGGUGCAGCAGUGAGCUGACAAAAACCACAUUUAUUAAAUAGUAUAUUUUAAGAUGUGUUUCACACAUUAAAGGCACAGAUGGUGAGGCAUCCGUGCCUUAAGAGGCAGCUGUGUGGAGAGGACCACAGGUGGGGUUUGCAGUUCAUCCUCACACCAGCUUUCUGGCGCGAUCUGCUCCAGCAGUGCUGUGGAUCUUGCUGGCAAACUCUAGCCCGCCUAGACCAUGCCAGGGCUCCUUGUAGUCUCAAACUAAGGACAUUGUGCAAAACCAUUUCACCACACCCAGGAUACGUGUUUUUCUUAUUCACUUUUGUGGUGGCGGUUAUUAUUUUUUAGGAGCAUUUUUGUGGUGGUGAACUUUUUUUUCUUUUGACUUGGUUAUUUUUACCAGAAAGAGAUGAGCCAGAGAGUGGAGGCAGUGUGGUAAAUAAUGACCAUGAUCAAUGGCUCAAAUAUCCCUACAGAUCCCAGCAUUUAGGAACCACUGAAACUAAUCCUCAGAUUGACCUAGGGCAGUGAUUCUCAAAGUGGAGUUCCCCGGAUCUACAGCAUCAGCAUCACGUGGGAACAUAAUGUAAAUGCAAAUGCUCAGGUCCACCUCAGACCUAAGUCAGAAGAAACUCAGGAGUUGGGCCCAGCCAUCUGUGUUUUAACACGUCUUUCCAGAUGAUUUUGAUGCUUGUUUAAGUUUGAGAAUUAAUGCCUAGAGCAUCCAAAGCAGCUUUGUUUUUAGGGAGAUAAUGCCUGGCCUAUUCCUGUACUCUAGGUUGAGAAGAGUCUGUUUCCUAUUGCAAAACUAAAACAUGGCUUGCUAGUGCCGUCCCCUGAUCUCUUAGGAAUCCUUGGAAUUUGGACUCAUGGCUAGGUCUGGAUUUCUGCAUCUGCAGUUGAAGGGACAGAUGUGGAAUUGUGGUGAGGGUGCCAGGGUAAUGCUUGCUUCUAACUGUCCACAAUCCCUUCUUUCCAGCACGUCCACCACCAAUUUCUAUACUCAGAACAGUAAAUUGAGUUUGGCCCAUGGCUCUGUGGGAAUUGACAGCACAUGGUAAAGAGGGCCUUGGAAACAGAACCUUGUAAUACAAACUGAUUAGUGCUGUAGAGAGUCUGGGCCAAGUGCCUGGGCACAUAAUAUAGCCCCAGGGAACACAAAGACACAAUUUUCCCUCACUGUCUUCAACCCGGCAGACACCCAGCAGCGCAGGCAGGGAAGAGGCACAGAAAAUAAAGCAUCUUCAUACAUGAUAUUGUUUUUGUUCCUCCCUGGUGAAGGAAUGCCCAGGUGGGGUCUGCCUGCCUGUACCCCUGGAAGCAGUGAGGGAAAGAGGCAGAGAGGCCCCCCACAGCUGUCCCAACAGUGCAGUCUGGCUGUCUCUGAGACUCCAGGUGGUGGUGGUGGUGGAGGUGUGUGUGUGUGUCAGAGACAAAAAGAGAGAGAUGUUGGGGACAUGUUCAAUGGAAGGAAAAGCUUCUCUAUUCCUCUCAUUCUCUUAAUGACUUAGAUGCAAUGAUUGCAAUUAAAUUUCUAGUCUUUGUUUGACUAUUCUAAAGUCGCAGCCUGAGAUUUUGCCACCUGCCCCAUUUUUUUUUGGGGGGGGGGCAUAUUUCUCAAUUAAAUAUUCAUCAACACUACCAUGGUAUUAAUGACGAAGCCAGGGUCCUUAGCUCUCCUAACUGCAGCAGAGGGGGCCAUCUGCCACCACUCUGCCAAAGGCAAGGGGAGGUUUUUCUUUGUCCAUCCACAUUGACUCUGGUUCCCUUCUCUUACCUGCAAAUGUCCCCUACACAGCAUUCUGUGGGAUUCAUCCUGGGAGCUCUAGGUCUGUAAAUCUAGAGGGCUGGAUCCUGUCCCACCCUGGUUCCACUAUUUAUGAGCAAGGUCCUUCACCUCUCUGAGUUCCUCAUAUUUGCAUUAAAAACUGGAGCAGUCCGUUCCUGCCAACCCAAGGGGGGGUCAUGGUGAAGAUACAUGAGACAUCUGUAGAAUGGGGCCUGACCCCUAAUGGGGAUUGGUAAAUGAUGGUAUUAGGAAAUCAAUUGACAAUGAGGAUAUUGUCAAUCGGAUCAAUUGUCAAAAGGAUCCUCUUUUUUGACUAAUUUAGAAGUCCCAUUAAGUGGGACUGUGGUAUUGGGCUGUCUGGCAGUGCCGAGUCUCUGGUCUCUGUCUGAUAUUUACCCAAGGGCAGGCUGCUGCAGGGCCAUGAGAUACCCCAACUCAAGGCAGAAGAAUGGAAAUGGGGAAUGGUAAGCCAGAAAGCCAAAAAGGCAAUGAGAAGAUUUGAAGAAGAAAUCAGCUCUAAUUGCACUUGCUCCCUUAAUUUUAUCUCACUGCCAAUGGUUAGGAACACAGGCUGCAGAGCCUGAUGGAAGUGGCCACACAGCUUCAUUCUGAACACCAAGGCUCAUUAGCAUGCCCAGUGCCCAAAAAAUCUAAGUGUGCA
rnacentral:lncRNA from 1 species